CAGUCGCCGCGGUAAUACGGAGGGAGCUAGCGUUGUUCGGAAUUACUGGGCGUAAAGCGCACGUAGGCGGCUAUUCAAGUCAGGGGUGAAAGCCCGGGGCUCAACCCCGGAACUGCUUUUGAAACUAGAUAGCUUGAAUCUUGGAGAGGCGAGUGGAAUUCCGAGUGUAGAGGUGAAAUUCGUAGAUAUUCGGAAGAACACCAGUGGCGAAGGCGACUCGCUGGACAAGUAUUGACGCUGAGGUGCGAAGCGUGGGGGGCAAACAGGAUUAGAUACCCCCGUAGUCCCUGUCUCUUAUACA
rnacentral:rRNA from 1 species